rnacentral:rRNA from 1 species
GGUUAAGCGACUAAGCGUACACGGUGGAUGCCCUGGCAGUCAGAGGCGAUGAAGGGCGUGCUAAUCUGCGAUAAGCGCCGGUAAGGUGAUAUGAACCGUUAUAACCGGCGAUACCCGAAUGGGGAAACCCAGUGUGACUCGUCACACUAUCAUUAACUGAAUCCAUAGGUUAAUGAGGCGAACCGGGGGAACUGAAACAUCUAAGUACCCCGAGGAAAAGAAAUCAACCGAGAUUCCCCCAGUAGCGGCGAGCGAACGGGGAGGAGCCCAGAGCCUGAAUCAGCAUGUGUGUUAGUGGAAGCGUCUGGAAAGGCGCGCGAUACAGGGUGACAGCCCCGUACACAAAAGCGCAUGUGCUGUGAGCUCGAUGAGUAGGGCGGGACACGUGGUAUCCUGUCUGAAUAUGGGGGGACCAUCCUCCAAGGCUAAAUACUCCUGACUGACCGAUAGUGAACCAGUACCGUGAGGGAAAGGCGAAAAGAACCCCGGCGAGGGGAGUGAAAAAGAACCUGAAACCGUGUACGUACAAGCAGUGGGAGCACCCUUUGGGUGUGACUGCGUACCUUUUGUAUAAUGGGUCAGCGACUUAUAUUCUGUAGCAAGGUUAACCGAAUAGGGGAGCCGGAGGGAAACCGAGUCUU